GAUGAACGCUGGCGGCGUGCCUAAUACAUGCAAGUCGAGCGAACAGAUGAGGAGCUUGCUCCUCUGACGUUAGCGGCGGACGGGUGAGUAACACGUGGAUAACCUACCUAUAAGACUGGGAUAACUUCGGGAAACCUGAGCUAAUACCGGAUAAUAUAUUGAACCGCAUGGUUCAAUAGUGAACGACGGUUUUGCUGUCACUUAUAGAUGGAUCCGCGCCGCAUUAGCUAGUUGGUAAGGUAACGGCUUACCAAGGCAACGAUGCGUAGCCGACCUGAGAGGGUGGUCGACCAACAUGGAACUUAGACACGGUCCAGGCUCCUACGGGAGGCAGCAGGAGGGAAUCUUCCGCAAUGGGCGAAAGCCUGACGGAGCAACGCCGCGUGAGUGAUGAAGGUCUUCGGAUCGUAAAACUCUGUUAUUAGGGAAGAACAAAUGUGUAAGUAACUAUGCACGUCUUGACGGUACCUAAUCAGAAAGCCACGGCUAACUACGUG
rnacentral:rRNA from 1 species